rnacentral:rRNA from 1 species
GACGGAAGGUGCAAGCGUUGCUCGGAAUCACUGGGCGUAAAGGGUGCGUAGGCGGCCGUGCAAGUCUGGCGUGAAAGCCCCGGGCUCAACCCGGGAAGUGCGCUCGAAACUGCGCGGCUCGAGUGCCGGAGGGGAGAGUGGAAUUCCUGGUGUAGCGGUGAAAUGCGUAGAGAUCAGGAGGAAGACCGGUGGCGAAGGCGACUCUCUGGACGGCAACUGACGCUGAGGCACGAAAGCGUGGGGAGCAAACAGG